rnacentral:lncRNA from 1 species
GUGCUGACAUGUCUCAAACUCCCCCCUUCCUCAGUGAGUGAGCGGUUUGACCUGGUGUUGGCAGUUGAUGGCCCAGUAGACCUGCCUGCGUGCAUUUGAAUGUCAAAGAGCAUCUUGGAGCUGUCACGGCCCGCCUGCCACACAAGAGGAACUUCCCUCCAGUCCUCGGCGUUACCCACAUGGCAAGAGGAUGUGCAGCGGCUGAUGUGGAGGAAAGACAAUCAGCUGAUUCGCCGUGAGUGAACCUGAUGAAUGUCUGUCGUUCAUCUACAACACCUGGUUCUCCGGAGAAUGGACAUUAAAGCUGCCUCCAAGGAUGGAGACAGACGAGAAAAGGGGACUUUCUCUUAGAGCAGUCCAAAGAUGGGACCACCCAGGAUUUGCAUACUUGAGUAGAGCGGAGACUGAAGUCUUUGCUGCCGUCAGAGUGAUUAGGUGUGGCUGCGGAGGCCAGCUUCCUACCCCCAAUCUUCAGCAGGUCCUAAUUUCAUAUAGUGCACCAUGGGAGAGAGAGGGAAUCACUACCUUUCUUUAUUUAUUUGCUCUCCAUGUGAAGAUGAAAUACAGCACACAUUCACCACCUCCCCCCGUCGCCAAAAAAUAAAGGAGCGAGGAACCGAUAUUAAGAAGGCUGCAGGCGGCACUAAUCAGAAGUGGCGUAGCACUCGUGGAUGCCAGGCAAAGGGGAGGGGAGAGAGAUGACACCUCACGGAUUUAUUAGCUCCCAGUCUCCAGAGCUGGGUGAUUCCUGCAUAAAAUGGGCAGAAUAAAGAAAGCUAACCACCACCA